GCUGAGUUCACCAGAACACAAGGAUUGGCCUGAUUAAAAACAUUUUAGUAACCAUGGUAACUAACACAAGCUCCAUACAGUCCAUGACGUUAAAUUUUCU
rnacentral:lncRNA from 1 species